rnacentral:lncRNA from 1 species
AUCCAGGCAGGAAGUAGCAUAGCAAGGAGACUCAUAUUUAAACAAAGGAAACAGGAAGGGUUCCCUCUUUUCCCCUUCCUCCUCCAGCGACGCCAUGUGAGCCACCAGCAAGAGAGGGUGCCAGUGAAAGGCAUCCUCUAUAAGAGAUUGGAAUCAGAGAUGUGUUCUCCUCCUAUGCAGACCGAAGGAAGAAAAUCCUCUUAGUGAAUCUCCUUGACGUGUUCAAGAAAGCAUUAUCUUUACAGCUUGGAGUUUGUGAAGUCCACAGACUAAGGACGCACCAGCAGGGAGGAAAGCGCUCACUUUGUCCCUGCCACUUCACACUCAGGGUCACAGGCAAUGACAGAACAAAACUGGCACCACAGAUCAAAUUGCGGAAACAUUGGUUUUGGAUCCUUGUACUUUUGCCUCUGAAGUCUCCGCAGGGGGGUUCCUGUGGUCCCUCUCUGGUAGAGCCUCACAGAUUCCAUCUGAAGUGUAGUUGCUUGCCAAAUCUACUCAUCAUCCCCCUGCUCCCUGACUGUGGAACCCAACUACCCCUCUCAUCUUCAAGGAGAAUUAUGCUUUAUGCUCCUCAUCAACAAAAUAAAAGGUCAAGCCCUUAACCUCUAACAAACCCCCAUUUCCAUCUGCAGUCCAGCAGUAGCUCAAAGGCAAGACAGGAACAAGAGAGAAAGCCCCUUCUUUAGUCUCAAACUCCCGGUCUGUUUUUAGCAAAGCCAUUAAUAGGAAGAGAAUGGUGUGGAUCAGCUUUUCAAUAUGCAAGAUGGACGGAGGUAACCAGUUUUCUCGUGUAGUGGAUUAUGGGGGGAAAUCCAUCACUAUCUCCAAAUUACCCUCUGACCACCAAAGCACACUGACUACAGGAAUAUUUACCUAACAGGUUUCAAGUUCAGCACGGCUACCUCCUCUGUUUUUCUUGGAUCUCUCUGCCUCCCACCCACCAAAGUCUUCUUUCGAUUGCCCCCUCCCCAGCCUAUCUGGCACCACUGGUAAUAAACGAACUGUUUUCUCCA